CAGUCCGGUGUUUCUUAUCUAGCCAGGAUACUACAACCUUCAAAAUUUGUUUAAAUUUGUUACCGUCAGGAAGGUUCUCAAAUUCUGAGAUCACCCAUGGUAGAAAAUCCUGCAACAGAAUUACAGGGAUGCUACCAAUGAACCGCCACACCAGAGAAGCUUGUUCUUGGAAAGAAAAUUGUUUAACCAGCAGAGGGAAAACCUGCAUGCCGUGCAUAAGAUUGUAGAACAUUGGUUAGUCAGGUAUGCAUUGACAUGUUGAACAUGAAGAACGCAACUAUAUCAAAAAUUAAUUGUUGGAACUGCUGUUGUUAAAUAAAUUAAGUAUCCUACUACUUUAAAUA